rnacentral:rRNA from 1 species
CAGCAGUAGCCGCGGUAAUACGUAGGGUGCAAGCGUUAAUCGGAAUUACUGGGCGUAAAGCGUGCGCAGGCGGUUUUGUAAGACAGAGGUGAAAUCCCCGGGCUCAACCUGGGAACUGCCUUUGUGACUGCAAGGCUAGAGUACGGCAGAGGGGGAUGGAAUUCCGCGUGUAGCAGUGAAAUGCGUAGAUAUGCGGAGGAACACCGAUGGCGAAGGCAAUCCCCUGGGCCUGUACUGACGCUCAUGCACGAAAGCGUGGGGAGCAAACAGGAUUAGAUACCCCCGUAGUCCCUGUCUCUUAUAC